rnacentral:rRNA from 1 species
UUACGGUCAAAUCACGCUGAAAACACCGGUUCUCGUUCGAUCACCGAAGUUAAGCAUCGUAGAGCCAGGUCAGUACUUAGAUGGGGGAUCGCUUGGGAACACCUGGUACUGUAAGC